GAUGAACGCUGACAGAAUGCUUAACACAUGCAAGUCGAUGGGGAAGUGGUGCUUGCAGCAUGGCAACCAUGGCGGACGGGUGAGUAACGCGUAAGGGACUUACCUGCAGGACUGGGAUAACAGGGGGAAACUCCUGACAAGACCGGAUAUUGUCAUGGAGCUGCAUGGCUUUAUGAUGAAAGGAGACGCCUGCGGAGAGCCUUGCGUCCUAUUAGCUAGUUGGUGAGGUAAUGGCUCACUAAGGCGAAGUUAGGUAGCCGGCCUGAGGGGGUGGACGGCCACAGGGGGACUGAGAUACGGCCCUUACUCCUACGGGAGGCAGCAGUGGGGAAUAUUGGACAAUGGGGGCAACCCUGAUCCAGCAAUUCUGUGUGCACGAAGAAGGUUUUCGGAGUGUAAAGUGCUUUCAGCAGGGAAGAAGUAAGUGACGGUACCUGCAGAAGAAGCGACGGCUAAAUACGUG
rnacentral:rRNA from 1 species